rnacentral:lncRNA from 1 species
AAAUGCUUGACCGGUUCUUGACGCUGGAACGUACUCCUUCCGUUCCCAAAUGCUUGGUAUUUAGGAGGGGAGAGUACUCCGUAGUUGUGUUAUAAUCAAACAAUAGUUAGGUCCAUCUGCAGCUGUGGUUUUAAUCAGCCCAUUUUUUGUAGGAGUUGCUUUUUGGGUUUGGCUUUAUUUUACGGAAAAUUUACGCGCACUCGUUGCCUUUAUGGCCCAUCUACGCGACAUGAUUCCAGCCCUUGAUUAGAGUCGGAUGGUGCGUCAUCUAAAAAAAAAAAG